AGUGAACGCUGGCGGUAGGCCUAACACAUGCAAGUCGAACGGCAGCACAGUAAGAGCUUGCUCUUACGGGUGGCGAGUGGCGGACGGGUGAGGAAUACAUCGGAAUCUACUUUUUCGUGGGGGAUAACGUAGGGAAACUUACGCUAAUACCGCAUACGACCUGCGGGUGAAAGCAGGGGAUCUUCGGACCUUGCGCGAUUGAAUGAGCCGAUGUCGGAUUGGCUAGUUGGCGGGGUAAAGGCCCACCAAGGCGACGAUCCGUAGCUGGUCUGAGAGGAUGAUCAGCCACACUGGAACUGAGACACGGUCCAGACUCCUACGGGAGGCAGCAGUGGGGAAUAUUGGACAAUGGGCGCAAGCCUGAUCCAGCCAUACCGCGUGGGUGAAGAAGGCCUUCGGGUUGUAAAGCCCUUUUGUUGGGAAAGAAAAGCAGCAGGUUAAUACCCCGCUGUUCUGACGGUACCCAAAGAAUAAGCACCGGCUAACUUCGUG
rnacentral:rRNA from 1 species